rnacentral:rRNA from 1 species
GACGAACGCUGGCGGCGUGCUUAACACAUGCAAGUCGAACGCUGAAGCUUGGUGCUUGCGCUGGGUGGAUGAGUGGCGAACGGGUGAGUAAUAAGUGAGUAACCUGCCCUUGACUCUGGGAUAAGCCUGGGAAACUGGGUCUAAUACUGGAUACGACAUGUCACCGCAUGGUGGUGUGUGGAAAGGGUUUUACUGGUUUUGGAUGGGCUCACGGCCUAUCAGCUUGUUGGUGGGGUAAUGGCUCACCAAGGCGACGACGGGUAGCCGGCCUGAGAGGGUGACCGGCCACACUGGGACUGAGACACGGCCCAGACUCCUACGGGAGGCAGCAGUGGGGAAUAUUGCACAAUGGGCGGAAGCCUGAUGCAGCGACGCCGCGUGAGGGAUGACGGCCUUCGGGUUGUAAACCUCUUUCAGCACGGAAGAAGCGAAAGUGACGGUACGUGCAGAAGAAGCGCCGGCUAACUACGUG